UACGUAGGGUGCAAGCGUUGUCCGGAAUCAUUGGGCGUAAAGAGCUCGUAGGCGGCUCGUUGCGUCGGCUGUGAAAACCCGGAGCUCAACUCCGGGCCUGCAGUCGAUACGGGCGGACUGGAGUUCGGCAGGGGAGACUGGAAUUCCUGGUGUAGCGGUGAAAUGCGCAGAUAUCAGGAGGAACACCGGUGGCGAAGGCGGGUCUCUGGGCCGAUACUGACGCUGAGGAGCGAAAGCGUGGGGAGCGAACAGG
rnacentral:rRNA from 1 species